GUGGGGAAUCUUCCGCAAUGGACGAAAGUCUGACGGAGCAACGCCGCGUGAGUGAUGAAGGUCUUCGGAUCGUAAAGCUCUGUUAAUCGGGACGAAAGAGCCUAGUGUGAAUAAUGCUAGGAAGUGACGGUACCGGAAUAGAAAGCCACGGCUAACUACGUGCCAGCAGCCGCGGUAAUGCGUAGGUGGCAAGCGUUGUCCGGAAUUAUUGGGCGUAAAGCGCGCGCAGGCGGAUCUGCCAGUCUGUCUUAAAAGUUCGGGGCUUAACCCCGUGAUGGGAUGGAAACUACAGAUCUAGAGUAUCGGAGAGGAAAGUGGAAUUCCUAGUGUAGCGGUGAAAUGCGUAGAUAUUAGGAAGAACACCAGUGGCGAAGGCGACUUUCUGGACGAAAACUGACGCUGAGGCGCGAAAGCCAGGGGAGCGAACGGGAUUAGAAACCCGUGUAGUCC
rnacentral:rRNA from 1 species